AAUGCAAAAACCAGUCGCGCUCAAGUUUGCCGCGGGAAGACUCUGCGAAAAUGGAGAGAUCUGAGCGGAGAGUACCUAUUUGGCUAAGUUUUUACCUUGAAAAUACGGAAUAUAUGGACAGUCGUGAACUCAUCCCGUCUUUAUAAUACAACGUACUCAUUCGUCUAUCCUUCUCAACCUAGCCGUACAUUGUUUUGAGAAUCUAACUUGAAUUUUCCGUCAACGAUGUCGACCAAACCCAAGCCUCGAUCAUGCUGUGCACGUGCAUCCCAAAAGACUACACGGGCUUUCGAGCACUGGGCCGGCCGGCCUGGCGCCUAGCCCUCGCUUGCCGCAGGCUGUCUCCUGCAUGUGGACCGUGGGCCAUGGGCAUGGUGGUACUACUGAGUGACUGGGAGUCCUUUCAGUUUCAUCACUAAGUGUCUACCGAGGAGACUACUAGGGCGUGAAACAGGCCCAAAACGAAGAACAACAACAACAACAACAUUUCAUCAUUCUUUUCAUUUUACGGGAGUUUGACCUUAUCGAUGACACUGUCUGCAGUCUGCACAAAUAUCGAUUUUACUUUUAUUGAAGGUUUGCUUCCUCCUUUCCGAAUGACCAUCUCGGCUACAAGUGCUAUGGCCAGCACUGACUCUGAUGGACAAAUCAGGCCUCCAUUGUCCUUGAUGCGGAUUAGUUGAAGACGCUGGUCUUGGUACUGUUUCUCCUUAUCGACCAAUGCUGCUUUGCAUUCUUCACAGUACUGGUGAUACAAUAUAAAAAGAAAUUUCAAACCCUGCGAUAUAUGCUGAAAUGUUUUCUUGGAAUGUACUAAGUCCAGCGUCGGUGUUGUCCGUGGUUUCGUUCUCGUCUUCAUCUGAAGAAUCAAUGUAUGUGCUGUCACUGAUGUUAUCCCCUGUUGGGUCAUGUUCAUCUUCAUGUAAUUCUGCAUCUACUUUUACUUGUGUCCCCAUGGCCUCAAGAAAGGAAGUUGCGUUUCCAGAAUCACUGAUUCAGGAUCGUCAAAGAAUCGCUCUGCCAGCGAGAUAAAUCCAUCCAUCGCCAGACACAGUCCAAUGAUAGGCGUUCCACGGUUACUAGAUGCGACGGAAGUGCCAUCUAUUAACUUCAUUAUGAGGAAUCUUGAUUGGGAAGAAAAGAAGAGUAACAACGGCAUGGAGCGAUCUAUGGUAUCAUCAUCUAGACAUCUACUAUUGGUAAAUCAACGUUAGCGAUGCUCUAUAGGUUAUAUUGACAACAUAAAUGUGAAAAUAGCAACCAUUGAAAACAACACCAACCUUUUCUGUACCAUUGAAUAUGAGCUCCUCUUUCUCACCAAGUAGAUUCCUCAAAAGCUUCAAAUUGUGGCAAACAUCAGGAAUGUAUGUGACAGGAUGACCAUUGGCUGGAUGCGGGAAUUCACCUUUGAGGUUCUUCGGGUCUAAGUUUGUUCCCAGCAUAGUCAUGGUUGAUUUAUUGACGGCAGCUCCAUCGCAAACGAUGGCAUCUACCUGAAUGCCAUUUUCAUACAAACGGAUCAGACAUUCCUGUAUAAGCGCUGCCUGUAGAGAUGCAGUGAGCUUGUUGAUUAAGAAAUAGCCAACUGUAAGUUUGAUGUGGCAGUUCAUAGCAACUAUCAUAAAAGCAAGGGCUUGUGUUGCUGGUGUUGGGGUUUCUCCUUCACAUUUGGCAUUCCCAAUCGACGUGAAGCCAUUGUUGACAUCAUUGAUCUUGUCGUAUUGGAUCUGUUUCUUUAUGGACAUGGCAUCGAGCAUCAGCGACCAGUGCAAUUUUCUUGAGGAACUUUCAUUAAUGUAUUUCAGUGUGUUAAUUGAUUCUUCAGUAAAGCCAGGUAGACCAUCAACGCUAGCCAGCAUCUUUCUCAGAGUAACGUCUGACGGGAUACUGAAUAUCGUUCUAAGGUACUUAUAACAUUUAGGUGAAAGAUAAUGGAGUGUAAGGCAGAGGUUCAACAGUUCUGGAGAAUACCUGCGUCCCGAAUCUCUUCCUCUGUUCUUCUCCUCAUUGUUCACCAAUAGGUCAUAUGAAUCCCCAGGAAUCUCAUCAAGGGUUGUUUCGAUUACACUCUUUUUCACUCCGUAGUUUUCCAAUGUUGUCUUAAGGUCCUGAUAAUUCAAUGAGAAAAUAGAGCAGUUUUUUUUUUAAUGCAGCUACCCAUAAAAAGGAAAAAAUUGAAAGUGUGAAAGUGCACUUUAGUCUUUGACUGCAAUAUAUGAUGCCUUCAGUUUAAUGUGGGGAAAGAACUGUUUAUAUGUAAUGUUCUAAAUUUUAAGUACUUGACAAUGCAUUUUAUGAUAUCUUUGAUAUGUCAAAACAAGAAAUAUCACUGAUGAUAAUUAAUAUCUCGCCCUAUGCCAUUACCAUGCCCCCCUGGCCUAGAUAUGGUUAAAAACUGAGAAAGUAAUUAGCGACUGAUUUUCCAUUUCAAAAAAUGGUCUUUUCCGUUUCUGAAAAUCUGCAAUUCUGUUUCAACUUGAUCUAAAAAUGGAUAUUCGAUAUUGUCACUCAAAAUGUACACAACAAAAACCUGUAUUUUGUUUUGCAAAGGUGAAUUCCAUUAAUUUUUACAUGUAAAGUAUAAGAACGAAACAGAAUUUCUGUUUUAUUUACCGGUAAAACGGAAAAUCACUGUCCCUAUGUAGUUGACCGUCAUGAUUGGAGGGGGUAUGAAAAAGUGGGGACUUUGUAUCAUAGACAGUAUAAAUGAAUACUCUGAUUAAAAGUAACUUGUAUUAAAGGGAACUCCUGGCUGAAAAAUAAUCUAAGAAAAAUUAACUGAAUAAUUUUUAAGUUUAGCCAAUUUUGAAACACCAGUUAUAUGCACAUAAUUAUGAUUGAUAAAUUUGCAAUGCAUGUAGGUGGGACGAUGAAAAGGGGAAAGUGUAACAAAAUAUGUUCCAGCAGUGUUGCAUACUAAAUCAUGAGUCAAUUUUUUUUUCAUUCUUGGAAGAUAAUUCUGAAUAAAUAUAAUUUCAAUUCAUAUUAUGAAAUUUUUCAAGAGAAUAAGUUGGGAUAUAUGCCUUAAGGACGUGCAUAGAACUGUUUCAUAACUUGAAAGUUUGUUAUGCCUUAUUAUAUCCAAAAUGAUUAGACUUGUAGUGUUUUGUUUGUCAGAUUUUACUAAAUUGAUCUGUUCAAAUAAUCCUACAUGAAUUUUCAGCCUGGAGUACGCCUUUAAGAGGUGUUAAUUUUAACUUACUUUCAACGACCGAAUCUUCAUGGAUUUAUUAACACUUUCCAUCUGCGCCUUCCGUUUCUUUGCUUUCUCUAUCUGAAGUGCAAAUUCAAGUUUUCUUUUUGUUGACCCAGGACUGUAUGCAUAUGUGUGGUCUACUGCAGAUAUGCAAGGACGAACUGGAGGUGUGUUGGGAAGUUGAAUUUCAUUUGUGGAUGGUACCUGAAUUAAUGUAAAGUUUGAAUUUGACAGUCGUAAGGAAAGGGUGAAAUUUUGCUAAUGUAGGGUCGUACUUUGACCUUUCAGAGAUUUUGAGAUUUAUCUGUCAAAGAUCCCUUAGAUUUUUAAGAGAAAGAUGAAUGAAUCCAGAAAAUAUUUUGAACAAAAGUCAAAUCAAUUGCAAAUCUUUGUAAGACCGGACCCUGAUCUUGAAGACUGUUGAAAUAUUUUGAUCAAAUGGCAGCCUAAGCAGAAAGUUAUUUGCUGUGUAUUAGUCUAUUAUUUGGCUGUCCAAACAGGGGAAAGAAUUUAAGAAAUCUUCACCUAGUAGGAUUGCAUCUUUAGCCAAGAGUUUGCAAUCAAUGUAUAUUGGGGUGGAGAUAUGAUUAAAUUUGAACUUUUGCAAAUUAUUUCAGUUACAGCAUUUAAAAUGCCAGAAAUAUGUACUGAUCAGGUGGAGAGAUUUUUGUAAGGUGAAUCUUGUGCUAUGUGAUAUUCACCUGUGUGUAAACCGUACAAACAGCUUUAUGACACACCAGGGGCCCAUUGCAUAAAACUUUUUACCUGAGAAAACUCAUGUUUUUACCGGAGAUUUUGCCCUGUGUUAAAGUCAAUGGCAGAAAUCAGACUAACCUUAGUUUUAAGUUUUUACCAGAGUUUUCUCAGGUAAAAAGUUUUAUGUAACAGGCCCCAGGUUUCUAGCCAUGGCACUUGGGUUAAAAUUUGCACAAAUUUUUUGAAAAGUAGAAUCAAAUGCUGAAUAUGUACCAAUUCAUUUGUAUUUACAGAUAGCAAAGUCAUCGUUAUAGGGCAAUGCAAAGUCUGCAUUCAUUAUUUUACUGAAGUCUAUCACCAAUGAUCUAAAGUAAAAUUAUUUUGUUUAAAGAAAAUUUAACCUGUACAUGACAUGCAUAAUAUGAAACACUUAUUUCAUCAUUCAUCCCUGAAGGUGGUAGAUGCCUAAAGUUGCUCUAUUGAAAUUGAAAAACAUUUGGCAAACAUGCAUUACUUGGGUAAUCACUUCUUUUGCAUUCCUGAUAUAUUCAAAGUUGUGUUCUCCCUUUGAUUUGUUUUAAAUAUUUCUGCAUUUUGCGCAUUUUUAAAAUUCUAAUGUUAAUAUUACAAAACAACAUUUUUUCAGGGAGAGGGGGGGUGGGGGCAAUGAAUGUAGUAAAUACUUACAUGCACCUGUAAUGAAGGUACUGCUGUAGGUAGCAAGGAUCUUCUUUUCUCUGUAACGGAGUAAUCUUCCUUCUUAAAGUGCUUUGAGCAAACACAUAAUCGUGUUACUGGGUCAUCCGUGCGUCCUAUGAUGUUAAGCCAUUGUUCGCGGAUGCUGGGCUUAGUAGGUAGGCUUUGGAAAAACAUAGUUCUUUAACUAGUAAUGUAGUAUUAAACAUCAAGAUUUAUCUACACUAGAAUACAACAAGUGCAUCUGACUUUUUUUCUUCAUCAACCAUGAUAACUAAGGAUUUUUUGUUGUUGGAUAGAUCAACUUGUUCCUAGUGCAUGUAUCCAUGGUUUAUUUUCAUUUGGUCCAAUGCCAGCUCGUCUACUAUCAUUUGGUCUACCAACAGUUUGUCCUACAUCCACAUGGUCUAAUUGCCAUUUCUUCCAUAUACCAUUUCGUGUAAUUAGAUUAAGUGUUCAUUGGGCAAAAUUAAUGAAAAUAAAAUAAGUAUUACAUAAGCUGGUUAUGUGGUCAUAGACCAACCGAUGAUUAGACGAAAUGACCAACUGGUUAUUGUAUAUAGCGGUAGCGAUUGCAUGAAUGGCCUGCACGUCUAUAUAUAGCCUCUUUGAGGUGUUCAAGUGCAGUAUUUACAAGACAAGGCAGCACGAUUUGUAUCUAACAAGUAUUACGCAUAAGUAGUGUUACCAAAAUGAUGAGUAUUCUAAAAUGGGAUACUUUCCAAGACAGGAGAACAAGUAGCCGGCCUAUAUUUUUGUUUAAAGAAAUACACAAUAUAACUCCAUGUAAAGCAUCCUCCAAAGAAAUACACAAUAUAACUCCAUGUAAAGCAUCCUUUAAACCAACAACCAGAAUAACCAGACAGUCUCAUGACUUAAACUUCAAUGUAAUCAGAGCAAAUAAGGAUUGCUACAAAUAUUCCCUCUACCCUCGUACAAUUGUAGAGUGGAGUUCCCUUUCUCCCACUACUAAAAAUGCACCCGAUCUAGCUGCAUUUAAGAAACAGCUGAGCAAAAACAUGCUAAUUAAAAGUCAAAAUGGUUGUUAGACGAAAUGUUGAUAGAUGGGAUGGCAUUAGGCUAUAUGAAGGUAUGUGGCGAGUGGACGAAUUGGCAAUUUUCCAUAUCCAUAUACUAGGAGUGAUUAGAUUUUAGGUUCCUGAGGUCAAAAGUCCUAGAGGUCAUAUGUCCAAAACUAUCUUUCUCCACUUCAAAAUUUAUCGUGUUUACCUAAAUGACAGUGAUCUAUUUAGAGGUCAUUAUAGUUUUGGUAAAUUACCCCCCCCCCCCAAAAAAAAGGGAAUAUUGUAUCAUUCAUGAUGUGGACUCCAUCCCCCUUCUGAUAAAAUUCAUUAUAAAAUAUAUAUGGUGAUAGCAAACAUUGCAACUGUUACUGAACCAUUAAACAAUUAUUAAUGUUUGAAAUCUUGAAUUAUAUAGAUAUGGAUAAUAAAUUAUUGAAUAUGAUUUUAUAA